rnacentral:lncRNA from 1 species
UAAUAGUUGAACAUUGUUGGAGAGGAUCAAUCUUUGUGAUUGAUCUUUAGUUCAUACUUGCAGGAAACAUAAGGAUGCAGCUUUCAGUCUUAUUAUGCUUUCCUGGUUAAGGCCUAACUCAGAAGGAGAGAGGAAGCGGAUCACUAUAUAAUCUAUUCAAUUUCAAUUUCAAAAGAUGCUGCUGCUGAUCAAAGGAUACUUGUGAGUAGCACAUUUCCAUAAAAUGAAUUUUGACAACUUUCCCCCAAAUGUGUGUCUUACUUUAGCUUUUGAUUUGAAAGGAGAAAUGGAGGUUGGCAGGAAAGAUAAAUGAAAGUGAUACUGACAGUGUUUGGGGCUGCCAAAUAAUCUGCAUCUUAGAAUUUCUG